rnacentral:rRNA from 1 species
AGAGUUUGAUCCUGGCUCAGGACGAACGCUGGCGGCGUGCCUAAUACAUGCAAGUCGAGCGAGCUUGCCUAGAUGAUUUUAGUGCUUGCACUAAAUGAAACUAGGUACAAGCGAGCGGCGGACGGGUGAGUAACACGUGGGUAACCUACCCAAGAGACUGGGAUAACACCUGGAAACAGAUGCUAAUACCGGAUAACAACACUAGGCGCAUGUCUAGAGUUUGAAAGAUGGUUCUGCUAUCACUCUUGGAUGGACCUGCGGUGCAUUAGCUAGUUGGUAAGGUAACGGCUUACCAAGGCAAUGAUGCAUAGCCGAGUUGAGAGACUGAUCGGCCACAUUGGGACUGAGACACGGCCCAAACUCCUACGGGAGGCAGCAGUAGGGAAUCUUCCACAAUGGACGAAAGUCUGAUGGAGCAACGCCGCGUGAGUGAAGAAGGGUUUCGGCUCGUAAAGCUCUGUUGGUAGUGAAGAAAGAUAGAGGUAGUAACUGGCCUUUAUUUGACGGUAAUUACUUAGAAAGUCACGGCUAACUACGUGCCAGCAGCCGCGGUAAUACGUAGGUGGCAAGCGUUGUCCGGAUUUAUUGGGCGUAAAGCGAGUGCAGGCGGUUCAAUAAGUCUGAUGUGAAAGCCUUCGGCUCAACCGGAGAAUUGCAUCAGAAACUGUUGAACUUGAGUGCAGAAGAGGAGAGUGGAACUCCAUGUGUAGCGGUGGAAUGCGUAGAUAUAUGGAAGAACACCAGUGGCGAAGGCGGCUCUCUGGUCUGCAACUGACGCUGAGGCUCGAAAGCAUGGGUAGCGAACAGGAUUAGAUACCCUGGUAGUCCAUGCCGUAAACGAUGAGUGCUAAGUGUUGGGAGGUUUCCGCCUCUCAGUGCUGCAGCU